rnacentral:rRNA from 1 species
GACGAACGCUGGCGGCGUGCUUAACACAUGCAAGUCGAACGGAAAGGCCCUGCUUGCAGGGUACUCGAGUGGCGAACGGGUGAGUAACACGUGGGUGAUCUGCCCUGCACUUCGGGAUAAGCCUGGGAAACUGGGUCUAAUACCGGAUAGGAGCCAUUUUUAGUGUGAUGGUUGGAAAGUUUUUUCGGUGUAGGAUGAGCUCGCGGCCUAUCAGCUUGUUGGUGGGGUAAUGGCCUACCUAGGCGGCGACGGGUAGCCGGCCUGAGAGGGUGGACGGCCACAUUGGGACUGAGAUACGGCCCAGACUCCUACGGGAGGCAGCAGUGGGGAAUAUUGCACAAUGGGCGCAAGCCUGAUGCAGCGACGCCGCGUGGGGGAUGACGGCCUUCGGGUUGUAAACUCCUUUCGCUAGGGACGAAGCUUUUGUGACGGUACCUAGAUAAGAAGCACCGGCUAACUACGUG